rnacentral:rRNA from 1 species
UUUGAUCCUGGCUCAGGAUGAACGCUAGCGGCAGGCUUAACACAUGCAAGUCGAGGGGUAACAGGGAUUGCUUGCAAUCCGCUGACGACCGGCGCACGGGUGCGUAACGCGUAUGCAACCUACCUUCUACAGGGGGAUAGUCAAUAGAAAUGUUGAAUAAUACCCCAUACGAUCUUUGAAUAGCAUUAUUUAAAGAAGAAAGUUCCGGCGGUAGAAGAUGGGCAUGCGUUCUAUUAGUUAGUUGGAGAGGUAACGGCUCCCCAAGACAUCGAUAGGUAGGGGUCCUGAGAGGGAGACCCCCCACACUGGUACUGAGACACGGACCAGACUCCUACGGGAGGCAGCAGUGAGGAAUAUUGGACAAUGGAGGCAACUCUGAUCCAGCCAUGCCGCGUGCAGGAAGACUGCCCUAUGGGUUGUAAACUGCUUUUAUACAGGAAGAAAUGUACCUACGUGUAGGUAUUUGACGGUACUGUACGAAUAAGGAUCGGCUAACUCCGUGCCAGCAGCCGCGGUAAUAAGGG